UACGAAGGGUGCAAGCGUUACUCGGAAUUACUGGGCGUAAAGCGUGCGUAGGUGGUUUGUUAAGUCUGAUGUGAAAGCCCUGGGCUCAACCUGGGAAUGGCAUUGGAUACUGGCAGUCUAGAGUGCGGUAGAGGGUAGCGGAAUUCCCGGUGUAGCAGUGAAAUGCGUAGAUAUCGGGAGGAACAUCCGUGGCGAAGGCGGCUACCUGGACCAGCACUGACGCUGAGGCGCGAAAGCGUGGGGAGCAAACAGG
rnacentral:rRNA from 1 species